UGGGGAAUAUUGCACAAUGGGGGAAACCCUGAUGCAGCCAUGCCGCGUGUGUGAAGAAGGCCUUCGGGUUGUAAAGCACUUUCAGCGAGGAGGAAGGGGAGUGAGCUAAUACCUCGCUUCAUUGACGUUACUCGCAGAAGAAGCACCGGCUAACUCCGUGCCAGCAGCCGCGGUAAUACGGAGGGUGCAAGCGUUAAUCGGAAUUACUGGGCGUAAAGCGCACGCAGGCGGUUGGAUAAGCCAGAUGUGAAAGCCCCGAGCUCAACUUGGGAAUAGCAUUUGGAACUGUCCGGCUAGAGUCUUGUAGAGGGGGGUAGAAUUCCAGGUGUAGCGGUGAAAUGCGUAGAGAUCUGGAGGAAUACCGGUGGCGAAGGCGGCCCCCUGGACAAAGACUGACGCU
rnacentral:rRNA from 1 species